AUGCACCCUGGAAGCAACAACAGGAUCCAAAUCACCUGCAUGAGGAUCCAACCCACCUGCCAUGUCCUGGCAGCCGUGCCCUCCUUCAUUCCAGGCAAACACGCAAGUGUGAGAUGCUGUCUGAAGCCUCGGACUUCAUUUAACAAGUUUGAGUUGAGUUAGCACCUUCGAGCCUCUGGGGCUGUGUCUUGCAUCAGAAAGAACACAGCUCGUUAUCAUUCCUGAACUCUGCUCCUCUCAGCCGCUGUGCUAGGUGAUGCGAGGUGACACGUGGAGGAAAACAGGAUCUCUUCCAGAAUAUGUGAAAAGUGAAUCAUCCCGCCUUUUUGCAGCCUUCAUUUGGCUAGCUAAGGAAGCCAAGCUUGUGUGCUUGAAGCUCCGUGCCUAGAACACAGAAGCCCCGUUGCCCCGUCACCC